rnacentral:misc_RNA from 1 species
GCGACAAAUUCGGUCGAAAAAAUGACCCACUUUGUCGUCGACCCAGUUGGGAACUACCUUCUGUUUUAUCACAGUUCAUUGUUUUGUCAGGUUAAAUAAACCCACCGGUUUAUUUCACAUUUUCACCAUAUCUGUUAUUAGAUCUAACUUGAAAAUCGUUCGUUCUUACUGUAAAAGUGUAAACCAGUUUUUGAUGUGUGUGGAUUAUUUAAUAUAGUAAUAAUGUCAGUUGAAAUAGGUAAAAUCAAUUCAAAUCUGGUAUCACAGAGGCUUAUAAGAGAUAGAAAAAUACUCCGUGCAUUGCUUUCGGCUAUUAGAAAGGAGCAAAAAAAGCUUCGCCUAAAACAAUAUCAAGAUGCAAUGUUGAAAAAACAUUUUUCAACUAUGAAAACUAAAACUACCACUGUCGUUGAAGCGAAUUCUAUAGUAUCAAUAAUUCAAACAAUAUCAGAAAUUAAAACAAAAAGUGUCAAUGAUAGUACUAGCAAAGUACUCAAGGAUAUCGACAACCCGGAAUUUGUAAAUGCGUUGGACUUGGAUUUACAGUUACAUGAAAAUCAACAAUUCGAGGAUGUGGAUGAAGAAUUUGAACUCGAAUAGGUUACAACCAAGACAAAGCCGUGUGAUAUCCCUGUGGUUUUGGAUAUUGAUAAUGUUAAAUACACAUUAAGAGGGUUCUUGGGAUUCUGUGGGAGGACGUCCAGCAUUACAAAGAUUGGACACUAUGUGGCAUAUGUCAGAAGGUGCAACGAGACAUGAGAGUUGUAUGAUGACACCAAAGAGUCAAAGAUGUCUGUUUCCCAGAACAACCCAGUUCCGUGUCAACUUCUAAUAUAUACAAUUUGAUACCAGUGGGAACUGCAUAUCCAGUCCUUACGAUCAUCUACAAGACUGCACUAAGAGCACUGAGCACUAUACAAACUAUCAUUAUUAGGUAGAACCGAAAAAAACAGUCGGGAAACAGGUUUAUGGAGGUGUGGCGUAUUGGAGAAUAAAUUGUUGGGGAUCCACUAUUCAUUGAUGGCGAACAAUUUAGUGCAACAUUGAAAGCGUCCUCUGAUUGCUUCUUUAACAUAUUUCAGUUAUAGUGACAAAAUGGAUACUUUUUAUAAAAGAAGCCUUUCUUAUAGAACAAAUUGAGAUACUGUAGUCUAAUUAUUUUUUAUAAUAAAUGAAUGUACUUUAUUAAUAUUGUUUUAAUAAAAAGAAAGUCAGAAUUGUUCAUAUAAUAA